AAAUUGAAGAGUUUGAUCAUGGCUCAGAUUGAACGCUGGCGGCAGGCCUAACACAUGCAAGUCGAGCGGUAGCACAGAGAGCUUGCUCUCGGGUGACGAGCGGCGGACGGGUGAGUAAUGUCUGGGAAACUGCCUGAUGGAGGGGAUAACUACUGGAAACGGUAGCUAAUACCGCAUAACGUCGCAAGACCAAAGUGGGGACCUUCGGGCCUCAUGCCAUCAGAUGUGCCCAGAUGGGAUUAGCUAGUAGGUGGGGUAACGGCUCACCUAGGCGACGAUCCCUAGCUGGUCUGAGAGGAUGACCAGCCACACUGGAACUGAGACACGGUCCAGACUCCUACGGGAGGCAGCAGUGGGGAAUAUUGCACAAUGGGCGCAAGCCUGAUGCAGCCAUGCCGCGUGUGUGAAGAAGGCCUUCGGGUUGUAAAGCACUUUCAGCGGGGAGGAAGGCGGUGAGGUUAAUAACCUCAUCGAUUGACGUUACCCGCAGAAGAAGCACCGGCUAACUCCGUGCCAGCAGCCGCGGUAAUACGGAGGGUGCAAGCGUUAAUCGGAAUUACUGGGCGUAAAGCGCACGCAGGCGGUCUGUCAAGUCGGAUGUGAAAUCCCCGGGCUUAACCCUGGGAACUGCAUUCGAAACUGGCAGGCUAGAGUCUUGUAGAGGGGGUAGAAUUCCGAGGUGUAGCGGUGAAAUGCGUAGAGAUCUGGAGGAAUACCGGUGGCGAAGGCGGCCCCUGGACAAAGACUGACGCUCAGGUGCGAAAGCGUGGGGAGCAAACAGGAUUAGAUACCCUGGUAGUCCACGCCGUAAACGAUGUCGAUUUGGAGGUUGUGCCCUUGAGGCGUGGCUUCCGGAGCUAACGCGUUAAAUCGACCGCCUGGGAGUACGGCCGCAAGGUUAAAACUCAAAUGAAUUGACGGGGGCCCGCACAAGCGGUGGAGCAUGUGGUUUAAUUCGAUGCAACGCGAAGAACCUUACCUGGUCUUGACAUCCACAGAACUUUCCAGAGAUGGAUUGGUGCCUUCGGGAACUGUGAGACAGGUGCUGCAUGGCUGUCGUCAGCUCGUGUUGUGAAAUGUUGGGUUAAGUCCCGCAACGAGCGCAACCCUUAUCCUUUGUUGCCAGCGGUCCGGCCGGGAACUCAAAGGAGACUGCCAGUGAUAAACUGGAGGAAGGUGGGGAUGACGUCAAGUCAUCAUGGCCCUUACGACCAGGGCUACACACGUGCUACAAUGGCAUAUACAAAGAGAAGCGACCUCGCGAGAGCAAGCGGACCUCAUAAAGUAUGUCGUAGUCCGGAUUGAGUCUGCAACUCGACUCCAUGAAGUCGGAAUCGCUAGUAAUCGUAGAUCAGAAUGCUACGGUGAAUACGUUCCCGGGCCUUGUACACACCGCCCGUCACACCAUGGGAGUGGGUUGCAAAAGAAGUAGGUAGCUUAACCUUCGGGAGGGCGCUUACCACUUUGUGAUUCAUGACUGGGGUGAAGUCGUAACAAGGUAACCGUAGGGGAACCUGCGGUUGGAUCACCUCCUUA
rnacentral:rRNA from 1 species